rnacentral:rRNA from 1 species
AGUGAACGCUGGCGGCGUGCCUAAUACAUGCAAGUCGAACGAGCGGCGGACGGGUGAGUAAUGCCUAGGAAUCUGCCUGGUAGUGGGGGAUAACGUCCGGAAACGGGCGCUAAUACCGCAUACUAUGAGCUGAGCCUAGGUCGGAUUAGCUAGUUGGUGGGGUAAAGGCCUACAAAGGCAACGAUCCGUAACUGGUCUGAGAGGAUGAUCAGUCACACUGGAACUGAGACACGGUCCAGACUCCUACGGGAGGCAGCAGUGGGGAAUAUUGGACAAUGGGCGAAAGCCUGAUCCAGCCAUGCCGCGUGUGUGAAGAAGGUCUUCGGAUUGUAAAGCACUUUAAGUUGGGAGGCGUUACCAACAGAAUAUGCACCGGCUAACUUCGUGCCAGCAGCCGCGGUAAUAC